ACCCGUGCAUUGAAUUUGUUAUAGCAUAAAUUAUUAACUGAACUAGAAAUUGAAAUGCAGCCGUACUCUCUAAUUUCCAAAGAGUAAAGGGAGUAUGAAAAGAGGGGUCAAAUUUUGCUGAGUAAAUGUGUUGGGUGAAAGUUGAGCACUUUCCAACCCAAUUAUGGGUUAAGUGGCAAAAUGGCCAUGCAGUAUACCCUUCAAAAGGUAUAACCGAACAUGUUCAAAUUGUAAGCAACGUAAGCGCAAGAAAGCACAUUUUCCUCGCUACUAUAGGUCAAGUGGACCUUGCGACAUACAACAAAAUCUAUCCUAUAAGCAGAUACGCUCUCAAAUGGGUAAAUAUUGCCCAGUGGUGCCUAGAGAACGUUCUCGAAAACGACAGUAACCGUCAAGAUGGCGGAUGGUGGAGUUACCAACGUGCUGCGAGAGUGGAAUUCGAAAACCCUGAUUCCUCGGUUUAAAGAAAUGACAUUGACACUGCAGCAUUCCACUUGACCACUGGAUGAGGGACCAUAAAAAAUUUGAUUGCAAAGAUUGGGCAAAAGGUUAAAUUCAUGAAUCAAUCCAAACUUAUAAAUAGCACAUUUAUCAGUUGCUGUUGUUGUGGAAGAAUUCUCCAUUUUAUUCUAUUUACAAUGUUUUAUAGAGUUCAAAGUUUCUCCCCUCUUGUAAAGAUAGGCACAUAAUUGUAAGAUAAGUCAAGUUCUAAUUAACACAAGUAUCCAAGUUGUGUUGCACACAAGGUUUCAGUCAAUUACACUCAACAGCUGUUGUAUGAAAACUCGCAGGUGUUAAUUUGUUUUUGUUUGUAUAUAGAAAUGUGCAUGUUUUGUUGGAGGGGCAUUGAAUCUCUUUGUGGCCAUUGUAAGUUUUAAUUAGCACAUGAAACCAAAUAAUAUGUGUUAAUUGAAGAAAUAAAGUCUCACAGAGUUGAAACUAAGUUUUCUCCAUUGUCAAGAUAGAAAAAAAUGUAGGUUCAAGUCAAGGUAUGAGUUUCAAACAUGCUCAAGGUUCGUGAAGUCAGUAUAAUUGAUUUGGGGUAAUUUCUUGAACAGUUUGCCAUUUUAUUGAUGAGGAUGUUAACACUCAUUAACUCAGAGUUUGUACUUACAUGGGAAAAAUAUUAAAAAGUAUAAAACAUAACGCUGGUAGGUUAUUUGCAUUAAUUUAUUUUUGAUCGGAUUUAUUAGGGGUGGAGGUGGAGUUGGGGGGGGGGCGUAAAACCCAAAUUACAUUGAACAAUGUACAACAUAACACAUAAAUCCUUCGAAUUUCAAAUUAUCAAACAGUAGCAUUUCUGUAGUGUGUUUAAUUCGAAUCUGACUACUUAACCAAAAUGUAAAAUCUUUUUCUCGUUUUUAAGUGUGCAACAUAUGUUUUUUUUAGUGACAUGGAAAUAUCAACACACUUAGUCCAUUUCAACUGAUUUUAAUUUAAUUAAUGUUUACAAAAUGAAUGUAAAAUUAAACGAAAAAUUAUUGACACAAAUGCAACUCUUUUAAUUUGAUUGUUGUAAAUGAAAAUAAACGAAUGAAUGAAAAAAUGUUACAAAAAUA
rnacentral:lncRNA from 1 species